CUAUUCCGGAGAGGGAGCCUGAGAGAUGGCUACCAGGUCCAAGGACAGCAGCAGGCGCGAAAAUUACCGAAGCCUCCGGUGAGGGCGGUAGUAAGGAGACGUGAAUACGAUGUGCAGGUAAAUAAUGCACUAGUAACAGGAGGUCAAGACUGGUGCCAGCAUCCGCGGUAAUACCAGCUCCUGGAGUGUCUAUGAUGAUUGCUGCAGUUAAAGUGUUCGUAGUCGGGCUGCAUGACUGGCGUGAAAGACCUUCUUUCAAGGGGGGUACAGCGCGGGGAAAGCAGAGAAUAAGGAGCGUUUUGGGGUCAGGUUAUUAAGCGACGAGAGGUGAAAUUUGAUGACUCGCUUAGGAGCAACAGAGGCGAAAGCGCUGACCAGGGGCGAAUCCGAUGAUAAAGGACGUAGGCUAGAGGAUCGAAGACGAUUAGAGACCGUUGUAGUUCUAGCAGUAAACGAUGCCGAUGCCGUGGAGCGAGUUUUAUUCGCUUCGCGGAAGAGAAAUUUAGUAGGGCCCUGGGGAGAGUACACGCGCAAGCGAGAAAUUUAAAGGAAAUUGACGGAAGAACACCACAAGGAGUGGAGUGUGCGGCUUAAUUCAACUCAACGUGGGACAGCUUACCAGGCCCGACGACCGCACGAGUGUAGUACACGAUAGGUUGAAGAGUGGUGCAUGGCCGUUAACGACAAGUGGGGUGACCUUUGGGUUAAGUCCGGGAAGUAGUGAGACCCCUGCUGUUACGGUUAUUAUGGUGACAGGACAGGUGCUUAAAGCACAGGAAGGAAGGGUCAAGAACAGGUCAGUGAUGCCCUUAGAUGGUCUGGGCUGCACGCGCACUACAGUGGUCACAGAAAGGAGUUAUUGAGAGAUAAUGGUGAUCGAGAGGGAAUGAGCUUUGUAAGAGGCUCAGGAACGAGGAAUUGCUAGUAAUCGCGGGCUCAUAAGACGCGAGA
rnacentral:rRNA from 1 species